rnacentral:rRNA from 1 species
CCUACGGGUGGCAGCAGUGAGGAAUAUUGGUCAAUGGGCGGGAGCCUGAACCAGCCAAGUCGCGUGAGGGACGACGGUCCUAUGGAUUGUAAACCUCUUUUGUCGGGGAACAAAGUCGCCCACGGGUGGGCGGAUGAGUGUACCCGACGAAAAAGCAUCGGCUAACUCCGUGCCAGCAGCCGCGGUAAUACGGGGGAUGCGAGCGUUAUCCGGAUUUAUUGGGUUUAAAGGGUGCGUAGGCGGACGGUCAAGUCAGCGGUAAAAAUGCGGUGCUAAACGCCGUACAGCCGUUGAAACUGGCAGUCUGGAGUGGGCGAGAAGUAUGCGGAAUGCGUGGUGUAGCGGUGAAAUGCAUAGAUAUCACGCAGAACUCCGAUUGCGAAGGCAGCUUGCUGCAGCGGAACUGACGCUGAUGCUCGAAAGCGCGGGUAUCGAACAGGAUUAGAUACCCUUGUAGUC